GGGUGCAAGCGUUAUCCGGAAUUAUUGGGCGUAAAGAGUCCGUAGGCGUUUUGUUAAGUAGAAUAUCAAAGACCAGAGCUCAACUCUGGGCCGGUGUUCUAAACUGGCGAAAUUGAGUUAUGCAGAGGCAAGUGGAAUUCUGUGUGUAGGGGUUAUAUCCGUAGAUAUACAGAGGAACACCAAAAGCGAAAGCAGCUUGCUGGGCAUAUACUGACGCUCAAGGACGAAAGCGUGGGGAGCGAACAGGAUUAGAUACCCUGGUAGUCCACGCCCUAAACGAUGAUUACUCGUUGUCGGAGGCUUCGACCCCUUCGGUGACUAAGCUAACGCUUUAAGUAAUCCGCCUGGGUAGUACGGCCGCAAGGUUAAAACUCAAAGGAAUAGACGGGGACCCACACAAGCGGUGGAGCAUCUGGUUUAAUUCGACAAUAAGCGAAAAACCUCACCAAGAUUUGACAUCCCGAGAAGAUUGCCGAAAGGUGAUUGUGCCGUAAGGAACUCGGUGACAGGUGCUGCAUGGUUGUCGUCAGCUCGUGCCUUGAGGUGUUCGGUUAAGUCCGUAAACGAGCGCAACCCAUGUCUUAAGUUGUAUUUUUCUUAAGAGACUGCCGGCUUCAAGUCGGAGGAAGGUAUGGAUGACGUCAAAUCAGCAUGGCCCUUAUAUCUUGGGCUACACAGGUGCUACAAUGGCCGGUACAAAAGGCUGCGAAGGGGUAACCCUGAGCCAAUCCCUAAAACCGGUCCAAGUUCGGAUUGAGGGCUGAAAUUCGCCCUCAUGAAGCUG
rnacentral:rRNA from 1 species